UACAGAGGGUGCGAGCGUUAAUCGGAGUUACUGGGCGUAAAGGGCGCGUAGGUGGUUUAGUAAGUAAGAUGUGAAAUUCCCGGGCUUAACCUGGGGUGGUCAUCUUAAACUGCGAGACUAGAGUACUGUAGAGGGUAGUGGAAUUUCCGGUGUAGCGGUGAAAUGCGUAGAGAUCGGAAGGAACACCAGUGGCGAAGGCGGCUACCUGGACAGAUACUGACACUGAGGCGCGAGAGCGUGGGGAGCAAACAGG
rnacentral:rRNA from 1 species